UCAGUGGAUUUGUAGAAAGUUUUA
rnacentral:miRNA from 1 species